UCGACUUGUUUCAAAUUCGGACAGGAGAUCUCGGCUAUAACUACAGGUGUUAGCUCGCCACUGAGUUAUUCCUGCUAUGCCUGAGAUCCUCUCUGUUUGUAUUUGAAGAAGGCCUGAGUCCCUGUAUAUACCGAGACCAGUAGCAUAUCUAGAUACUUCACUCUGCUACGAAUAAAGACUCCAAGGGACUCAGCAGCCUUCUCUCUGUUUUUAAGUUCCUGGCAGAUUGGGCUUGGUUGUAUGCUGUGGGCCGUUCAGAACACCAUGGCAAGCCUCUCAUUAGAAGAACAUAUUCUCGCCAUGUACAAAGUGAUAGUAAAUCAAACAUUCACUGGAGUGUACAAGGGGCAUAUUGAAAAUGCUCUAACAGGAUUCAGUCGACAUGUUGUUGAGGUUGAUCAAGGUAAUAUAACGGAAUGCUUGAAACAGAUAAAGCGGGACGCCAUCUUACGGGAGGUCUGGAGCGGGAUAACGGAUCCAGAUAUUGACGAUACUUGGGGUUGGUAUACUGACCCAUGGAAAACAUGUAUCUGGUGCCUUGUGCAAGAUGAUCACCUCAUCCCCUCCCCACGUAAAAGAUGCCAGGUAACUCUGGUUAAUGUUGAUGUAUUCCCCUGUCCUGCAUAUUCCAAGUGGGAAAUGGGGGUGAACAUAACGGCCAUAAUCGAA